CAACUCAUGUGAAGCCCUUGCAUACAUCCGUUUCACUGCCACUGAAGCAGCAUCCUUCACAUCCUCAGCAUUCAAAGGACCCAACAAACAAUGCCCCAAGAUCCUUAUCACAGGCUGCAAUAUUUCCCACGGAAGUGGAAUUCUUGCACCCUUUGGCCUUAAUUCAUCAUAUCCAUUUUCAAUUCUCAAAUUCUGCAUCGCUUCAGAAACACCCUCCAGAUCCCCAUUACUAAAUUCAACAGAAUUCUCAGAAUUUCCAUCAGUUUCAUCAAAUUCUGACACGCAAGGACAAUCUUGCCCAGCCCAAUCAGCAGCAAAUUUACAAAAAUCCAACUUAGACCAACUUGGCAUAUGGGAAAUCUGUUUAUAGUAACAAUCUAGAGCUACCCCAACAAUGCAAGCACGUUUAGUUGACUUCACAGCAAUUUCAUGCUCAAGAGGAGGCGAUAAAACUCCCACCAAAGGACGAUUCUGGGCAUUAGACGACCUGGAGUUUGAUUUUGCCUGUGUGGGGUUUCUAGGACUAUGAUACAGAGAAGGCUGAGAGAGAUCGGGAAUAGAAAUAAGUAUGGGUUUUCCUCC
rnacentral:misc_RNA from 1 species